rnacentral:rRNA from 1 species
AUACGUAGGGGGCGAGCGUUGUCCGGAAUGAUUGGGCGUAAAGGGCGCGUAGGCGGCGCGGUAAGUCUGGAGAGAACGUCCUGCUUUCAAGGUGGGAAUUGCUUUGGAUACUGCCGCGCUUGAGUGCAGGAGAGGUUAUCGGAAUUCCCGGUGUAGCGGUGAAAUGCGUAGAUAUCAGGAGGAACAACGGUGGCGAAGGCAGCUUACUGGGCUUUUACUGACGCUGAGGCUCGGAAGCGUGGGGAGCAAACAGGAUUUGAUUCCCUGGUAGUCCACGCUGUAAACGAUGAAUACUAGGUGUGGGGGGACUGACCCCUUCCGUGCCGCAGUUAACACAAUAAGUAAUCCACCUGGGGAGUACGGCCGCAAGGUUGAAACUCAAAUGAAUUGGCGGGG